rnacentral:rRNA from 1 species
AUGGAUUUCCGAUCGAGGCGUCGCCUCAGGCGCUCGCCGCCGCGUGGUCCGGGCGGAGAUGACCUCAUCAGCGCGCUCCACGAUGACAUGCUGCUCCAGAUCCUCCAGCGUCUGCGCUGCGCCCGCGCCGCCGCGCGAACCGGCGUCCUCUCGCGCCGGUGGCGCGGCCUCUGGGCCCGCCUCCCCGGUCUCACCUUCCGCGACGUCCCGGCCGGUGUGGUCAAAGCGGCGCUCGCCCGUGUCCCCCGCCGUACAUCCGUGUCCCUUCUUGACGUCCGUCUAGCGAGGAGUGUGUCCGACGCGUCGCGCAAGCUUGACGACGCCGGCGCAAAGUCGCUGCUGCGGGCCGCCGAGCGGCUCUCGCCGGAGGAGCUGGUCUUCGUCCUUCCGCACGAAAUCGUGUUCAAGCCAGGCCCUCCGGUCAGCAUCGUCAUGCCUGGCUUUCGCCGAGCCACCUCCAUCGAGCUGGACACGGGUUUCCUCCAUGUCAAGCCCCCGCACGCGGGCGGCGAGCUCCCUGCGCUCGAGAGGCUGUCUCUCUCCGGCAACAUCCUCGACAUCGGCGCCUUCCUCGACCGCUGCCCAUGGUUGCGCCUGCUCAGGGUCAUCUUCCGUGAGGUCGAGGCCGGACCGCUCCAAGCCGCACUUGCCACACUCGAGGCCGCUGUGGUGCUCGGCCUCACGGUGUCCCUCCUUGGCCUCGAAUGCGACCAAAUUAAUAACUGGAGGCGCAGUGUCAAUGGCCUUAGCGUUGCCUCCCUUCUCCCCGCCGCGGCGAGGCUCUCUCCGCAUGAGCUCAUCUUCACAAACAACUCUUUCAAACGCAUUUUUGCCGACCUGCCCUCCUUCCCCAGCUGUGCCACAUCGUUUGAGAUGGAAUCGCGCACCUUCCGUUUCACACAACUACCGGCCAAAGAAUUCUCAGCUCUCGAGAGGUUGUGCCUCGCGGGAUGCACCAUCGUAAACCUUGUCACAAUGGUCGCCCUCUGCCCGCGCCUGCGCAUGCUCAAGGUGAUGGCAGAUAGGUCCGCGCGUGAUGUCACAAUCAACUCGGAGUCGCUGCAGGAGCUUGAUCUUAGUGUCUAUGGUGAUGUCAAAUGUCAAAGCAUCCAAAUCAUGACGCCGCUACUUAAGCAACUGAAGCUCGAAGUUUGUUCCUACCCAGACCUUAGGGUGUCCAUCUCAACCCCAAUGGUGGAGAAGAAUCGUUUGGGUGCAGCAAUGGACUUUGCGCCGGAGAUGGAGAAACUUCCGGUUGCUAGCUUUACUGUGUUGGAGCUACAUCUCAACGCAAUGGGACAUGUUUUAGGAGGACUUCUCCGGCAUCUCCUUAUGACGCAUCACAUCCAGACUGCUACACGAAGGCUUAAGGUUUUCCUGUGGGACUGGUCCAGGGCAACGUGUCCUGAAAACUGUCCUUGUGAUGAGUCCAAGAACUGGAGGAGCCAAAGUAUCUCCUUGACUCAUCUCGAAGAAGUGGAAAUAAACAACUUCAGAGGAGGGGACCGUGAGAUUGAUCUCGUGACAAUGGCAUUGAGAUGGGCACCAAGGCUUAAGACAAUGACCAUCAAGCUAGCUGAUGAGGCAGACACUGAUUGUUGGGCCAAGAAUAUCUACAACAUUUGUUUGGCGUAUCCUCUUGUUAAUUGCUCUGUUUACAACCGCUCGGGUGGACUGGUUUAG